ACGAACGCUGGCGGCGUGCCUAAUACAUGCAAGUCGAACGAACGGAGGAAGAGCUUGCUCUUCCAAAGUUAGUGGCGGACGGGUGAGUAACACGUGGGCAACCUGCCUGUAAGUUGGGGAUAACUCCGGGAAACCGGGGCUAAUACCGAAUAAUAAGUGGUGGCGCAUGCCACGGCUUUGAAAGAUGGUUUCGGCUAUCGCUUACAGAUGGGCCCGCGGUGCAUUAGCUAGUUGGUAGGGUAAUGGCCUACCAAGGCAACGAUGCAUAGCCGACCUGAGAGGGUGAUCGGCCACACUGGGACUGAGACACGGCCCAGACUCCUACGGGAGGCAGCAGUAGGGAAUCUUCCGCAAUGGACGAAAGUCUGACGGAGCAACGCCGCGUGUAUGAAGAAGGUUUUCGGAUCGUAAAGUACUGUUGUUAGAGAAGAACAAGGAUAAGAGUAACUGCUUGUCCCUUGACGGUAUCUAACCAGAAAGCCACGGCU
rnacentral:rRNA from 1 species